GACGAACGCUGGCGGCGUGCUUAACACAUGCAAGUCGAACGGAAAGGCCCUGCUUUUGUGGGGUGCUCGAGUGGCGAACGGGUGAGUAACACGUGAGUAACCUGCCCUUGACUUUGGGAUAACUUCAGGAAACUGGGGCUAAUACCGGAUAGGAGCUCCUGCUGCAUGGUGGGGGUUGGAAAGUUUCGGCGGUUGGGGAUGGACUCGCGGCUUAUCAGCUUGUUGGUGGGGUAGUGGCUUACCAAGGCUUUGACGGGUAGCCGGCCUGAGAGGGUGACCGGCCACAUUAGGACUGAGAUACGGCCCAGACUCCUACGGGAGGCAGCAGUGGGGAAUAUUGCACAAUGGGCGGAAGCCUGAUGCAGCGACGCCGCGUGCGGGAUGACGGCCUUCGGGUUGUGAACCGCUUUCGCCUGUGACGAAGCGUGAGUGACGGUAAUGGGUAAAGAAGCACCGGCUAACUACGUG
rnacentral:rRNA from 1 species